rnacentral:rRNA from 1 species
GAUGAACGCUGGCGGCGUGCCUAACACAUGCAAGUCGAGCGAGGGUUUGCUCAGUAUUGAGUAUUCUAAGUCUAGAAUGUUCAAUUCUGAGCAAAACCAAGCGGCGGACGGGUGAGUAACGCGUGGGUAACCUGCCCUAUACACAUGGAUAACAUACUGAAAAGUUUACUAAUACAUGAUAAUAUAUAUUUGCGGCAUCGCAGAUAUAUCAAAGUGUUAGCGGUAUAGGAUGGACCCGCGUCUGAUUAGCUAGUUGGUGAGAUAACUGCCCACCAAGGCGACGAUCAGUAGCCGACCUGAGAGGGUGAUCGGCCACAUUGGAACUGAGACACGGUCCAAACUCCUACGGGAGGCAGCAGUGGGGAAUAUUGCACAAUGGGCGAAAGCCUGAUGCAGCAACGCCGCGUGAACGAUGAAGGUCUUCGGAUCGUAAAGUUCUGUUGCAGGGGAAGAUAAUG